GUGGCUCGCAUGGGCGAGCCUGACGGAGCACGCCGCGUGAGUGAUGAAGGUCUUCGGAUCGUAAAACUCUGUUAUUAGGGAAGAACAAAUGUGUAAGUAACUAUGCACGUCUUGACGGUACCUAAUCAGAAAGCCACGGCUAACUACGUGCCAGCAGCCGCGGUAAUACGUAGGUGGCAAGCGUUAUCCGGAAUUAUUGGGCGUAAAGCGCGCGUAGGCGGUUUUUUAAGUCUGAUGUGAAAGCCCACGGCUCAACCGUGGAGGGUCAUUGGAAACUGGAAAACUUGAGUGCAGAAGAGGAAAGUGGAAUUCCAUGUGUAGCGGUGAAAUGCGCAGAGAUAUGGAGGAACACCAGUGGCGAAGGCGACUUUCUGGUCUGUAACUGACGCUGAUGUGCGAAAGCGUGGGGAUCAAACAGGAUUAGAUACCCUAGUAGUCCACAGGGU
rnacentral:rRNA from 1 species